GAUGAAGAACGUAGCGAAAUGCGAUAAGUAAUGCGAAUUGCAGAAUUUCCGUGAGUCAUCGAAUCUUUGAACGCACAUUGCGCCCCUUGGUAUUCCAUGGGGCAUGCCUGUUCGAGCGUCAUUUGUACCCUCCAGCCCUGCUGGGUGUUGGGCGUUUGUUCCGCCGCGUGCGUGAACUCGCCUCAAAUACAUUGGCAGCCCGCCGUCCCGUGUGGGAGCGCAGCACAUUUUGCGCUCUCCGCUGCAGACGGCGGCAUCCACAAGUCUACACCUUUACGCUUGACCUCGGAUCAGGUAGGGAUACCCGCUGAACUUAAGCAUAUCAAUAAGCGGAGGA
rnacentral:misc_RNA from 1 species